rnacentral:lncRNA from 10 species
UUCAAGUUAUAUACUUCUAUUCUAUCUGUAUGGUGGAAAUACUAGAAAUACUAAGUGUGCUGUGUGCAUUUCUUUCCAGCUCCACAUUCAGUGAGGUCACGCUGCGAGCUUGAACUAGGCUAUUGUAGGCAGUACUUUACAUCACAGAAAUUAGCAAAUUGUAUGAAUCAGUCCUCUUUCCCUCAGUUGUCAAGCAUUACCGGCACACCACUGCCUACAUGGGUUUUAGCCAAGGGAAACUAUAGUAUGUUUUUAUUGGGAGGACAAUGGAACACUAUACAUAGGGAGAAUUCACAGAAUUUAGUGAAAUCAAAAAGGCAGCCCAUUAUAACAACCAAGUUUCCUGGCUUGACUAGUAUUACUGUCAUCAGACGAUAUUAUGUUCACUGACUUUCCCGUUUGUGGUCUCUGUGUUGGGUAUUGCUUUAAAACGGAAACUGUGUCAUGCUUAGCUCUGCAUCCCCAGGCCUGAUACGUAGUAGGUAUUCAAUAAAUACUUGCAGAAAGAAUAAAAGAAAAAAAUCCCUUUCUUUACUGUGGAUAGGAAGGCAGAACUGAAUCUUC